AUUGAACGCUGGCGGCAUGCCUUACACAUGCAAGUCGAACGGCAGCACGGGUAGUUUCACCUUGUGACGAUUGCGGCAGGCGGGAGAGAUACAUGUGAACAUGUCCUGUAUUAGACUGGAGCAAGUCCGGAGCCGGAGUAAUACUACAGACGAAUAACUUAUGAAGGAGGGUGCCCUUGUGGCCUCGCGCUUUGGUGUUUGCCGUAGGCUGAUUAGCUAGUUGGUGGGGUAAAGGCAAACCAAGGCCACGAUCAGUAGCUGGUCUGAGAGGAUGACCAGCCACACUGGAACUGAGACACGGCCCAGACUCCUACGGGAGGCAGCAGUGGGGAAUCUUGGACAAUGGGCGAAAGCCUGAUCCAGCAAUGCCGCGUGUGUGAAGAAGGCCUUCGGGUUGUAAAGCACUUUUGUUAGGAAAGAAAAACUUGGUCCUAAUCCGGUCGCGUGAUGACGGUACCGGAAGAAUAAGCACCGGCUAACUACGUG
rnacentral:rRNA from 1 species